rnacentral:rRNA from 1 species
AACGAACGCUGGCGGCGUGCUUAAUACAUGCAAGUCGAACGAGAAAGCCUAGCUUCGGCCGGGCCGGUAAAGUGGCGAACGGGUGAGUAACACGUGGGCAAUCUGCCCUCAAAUCUGGGAUAAUCCUUCGAAAGGGGGCUUAAUACCGGAUAACACCAUAAGAUGGCAUCAUUUAAUGGUCAAAGGUGGUAGUAACUUGUUACUGCUGUCGUUUGAGGAUGAGCCCGCGCCCCAUUAGCUUGUUGGUGAGGUAACGGCCCACCAAGGCUUCGAUGGGUAGCCGGCCUGAGAGGGUGAUCGGCCACACUGGGACUGAGAUACGGCCCAGACUCCUACGGGAGGCAGCAGUAGGGAAUAUUGCGCAAUGGACGAAAGUCUGACGCAGCAACGCCGCGUGGGUGAUGAAGCAUCUUGGUGUGUAAAACCCUGUCAGUGGGGAAGAACCACAUCGGUAGUAACUGACCGAUGCCUGACGGUACCCACAGAGAAGCACCGCUAACU